rnacentral:rRNA from 1 species
AUACGUAGGUGGCAAGCGUUGUCCGGAUUUAUUGGGCGUAAAGCGAGCGCAGGCGGUUUCUUAAGUCUGAUGUGAAAGCCCCCGGCUCAACCGGGGAGGGGCAUUGGAAACUGGGUGACUUGAGUGCAGAAGAGGAGAGUGGAAUUCCAUGUGUAGCGGUGAAAUGCGUAGAUAUAUGGAGGAACACCAGUGGCGAAGGCGGCUCUCUGGUCUGUAACUGACGCUGAGGCUCGAAAGCGUGGGGAGCAAACAGGAUUAGAUACCCUGGUAGUCCACGCCGUAAACGAUGAGUGCUAAGUGUUGGAGGGUUUCCGCCCUUCAGUGCUGCAGCUAACGCAUUAAGCACUCCGCCUGAGGAGUACGACCGCAAGGUUGAAACUCAAAGGAAUUGACGGGG